CCCCAACCAAACCCACACUCUCACAUCCACAAGCGCAUGCCUGUUUCUUCUCCCAAAUCCACCGCUGCGUUCGUCGAUCCGCGGCGCCGGCCGCGCCGCACUCCGCGAGCGCCUGCUUGUCUCCCCAGCCGGCGUCAGGGGCCAAGGUGACAGAUCCACAGGCUUCUCCCCCGCCCCAGAUUUUCGCUCGCCGAAUCCGUCGGCUCCUUGCUGCCGUCGUCUUCGCGGUCGCCGCGAUUCUCGACUCCGGCGACCUCCUCCUAGCCUCCCGCGACAAGGCCGUGUCCGUGUUGGCCGCCUUCGCGUCCUCCGAAGGCGAGCGCGCACCCAUCUCCACGAGGAAGGCGAGCGCGCACCACCCCCACGCUCCUCGUUCAGUGGCGCUGGCACCGACGCCGUUGUAGCGGGCCUCUUCCUCUCAAGCAUCUCGCCGCAGGCCACAUCAGGGAUGGCCUCGACCUCCUGCUGCUAGCUGCUGGUGCUGGCUGUAGCUUGAACUGGAGGUCUGGAGCAGAAAAAUUGCACCGAGGUAGCAGGUGGAUGAUGGUGUUGGUGCCUUUCUCUUGAAUUGUUGCUGGUGAUGGCUGCAAUUUAAAGGAGUAUUUUUUUCCUUUCUCUCCUUCCAUUUCUGUAAUUGUGCUUUCCCUAUGCGUGAUGAUGUUUCUUAGCACAAGGUGCAUUGGCUUGGGUUGAUCUGCUGUGAUAGUUCGGAGAGAUGAUAGUAGCAAGUAUAAACUCUCUACUAUGAUUAUAUUCAUAACACAUGGCAAAAAAGAGACUGCAUUAUUAAGUAAUCUGUUGUUUCGUUAUCAUUCUAAUUCUUUUUUAGCCACUAUACAUGUGUCAUGUAUGAGAACUUGAUAGAUAUUUGCUUAUCUGUGUCCAAGUGAUUACAGCAUAUAAUAAAGCGGGGAAAACAAGAUUUAUAUUGAGCAUUGUUUUUAAGGCGGUAAGGCGAGCACCACCCGCUCUAGCACCUAGGCGACGCCUAAGGCGGGCAUAUUUGUAAGGCGCUGCCCAGGCGCCUUAUCGCUUAAGCGUCGCCUAAGCGUCCAAUGCAGGACGCCUUAAAAACAAUGAUAUUGAGCUAUUAUACUCAUUUCUUCUAUUGGACUUGCUCAAACUUGCAUGAUUUUUUUGUUAGUAGUUGCCUUGUUCCUGCUAUUGGACUUGCUUAAUGGGUCGACGGGCUGUUUGUAUCCACUAUUUUAUUUUCUUCGGAAAGCAAGCUAAUGAGUUGGCUGCAGAAUCUAUGGAAAUUGUCUACAAACCCAGUAUGAGUUGCUGCCUUUUAAUCCCUUCUCUAAAGAAAACCUGGUUUGCUUGGAUAUAGUAUGCAAUUUGCUUAGAUUAGAGCACAACUUGCCUGCAAUAACUAAAGCAUUUGUCCAUGGGACACAACACAACUUGAUGUUCCGCAUAAUAUAGGUCCACAUUUACUUGCCUGAAACUUGUAUGCAAAUUGCCUACAAACCAAGUUGUAGUUGCUCCUGACUUUCGCUAUUUAUUUUAAUUCGGCUAGCAAGCUGAUGAGGUUGCUACAUUAUCUAUGGAAAUUGCCUACAAACCCAAUACGAGUUGCUACCUUUCAAUCAUUUUUCAUAUGUGGUGCAUAUACUGGUUAGUAGUCUCCAUGUGUUUGUUAUUUUUUCAUAAUAAUUGCCUCAAAUUUCGUAUGUAGUUGCCUCAAAUAACACAUGAACCUUGCUCUUCAUUUAUUUUCCUUAACAUUUCAUAAUAAUUGGUGUAAUUUUAUACUUGAAGUUUAAAUGUGACAACACAUUAUCAUUGUAUGUUUUAUCUCUUGUUUUGCUACAUUGGGAUUUUUUUAAUUGGGGGUGCCAAAUGGGGGUAUUCUCCCCCCUGUUUUUUACAGCCACGUGCUUUCAUUUUUGAGGCGCCUCAUGUCAACGACAACACAUGCCUCAGAUGAUUUUGUCCAUGAUGAUCUGGUAGGAACUAAUGGAUGAACCAAGCAAAAAUGGCAUUCAAGAAGAUCAUUAUGCAGUUAAUCGUGAUGCUGAUCCCUCACAUGUGAUUGAAGAUCAUCACGAGGGCCAGAGAAGCACACCCUUUAUUGGGUACCAGCAUUGAGGAAGAAAGGAGAUUGCUGCCAGUGGCAAACGUCUGUUGGACAUCAACAGCAAUUCGAGUGUUUCCACAUAUGGUGAUUGAAAUUCUAAGAAAGACACUGUCGUGGAACAACCAUCAAAAGCAAAAUGUCAAAAGACCGGAUCUAACGAGGAAAUACACAUGUUUCAUCUGUUGUAUUUUUCUUCUAGAAUAAGAGAACAGGGCAUCGCCUGCAAGGCUUUUCAAGCUGAAUAAACUUCUUGUACCUGUUCAACAAGGCCAAGCUCAAGUCACUUUCAGUCAAUUUCUGACACCAGCCUUGUGCAGAUCAUGGGGAAAGGGAAAGGAAGGCUUGUGUUCUUCAGUAACCCAGGGGACAAGGAUGAAAGAGGCACACAAUCAUGGGGGAAAGUGAAAGCUAAAUCUGACCUUUUUCUGUGCUUUUUCUACCCUUAGUCAAUAGGAAUUGCCUGGAGAACAAAUCCUAAACCAAGCACCAUUGGAGGAUUGUGGAGAGUUUUCUGUAUCUGGGAGUUGUCCCUUUGUGGGUUGGGAGAGAAGAAGAUGGGGCUGGGCGAUUUGGUGGGGAGAAGCCCAGGGGGUAGAGGAGGGAAACACGUGGGGAGGGAGGAUCAGGUGAGUUCUGUGGCUCGAUGGUGCGAGGAAUCGGGAGCGGGGGCAGGUACUUUCCUAUCCUAGACAGGGGGGACAGAAAAUUACUAUUUUGGAAGGGCUGCUAGGGAACGCUAGGGAGCAGCCGGCUGCUCCCUAGACGCGUCCUUUUUUGAAAUUACAAAAAGAUCUGAAAAAUUAAAAUAUAAAGAUAAAAUAAAGAAAAAUACAAAAAUUGGGAAUAGACAGACUCUUGAAUACGUACAUAUUUUCAUUUUUUUUGUUUCUAUCUCUGCCUUCAUUUACAUGUUUCUUAUUUUCCUUUUCUUUCCGAAUUUGUGUUUUACUUUGACCGCCAGAAAAAGACAGAUAGAAACGAAAAAACAUGAAAAAAAAUGGGCGUCCCAGUCAGGGGCACCCCUGUGCGAUGGCGCCGGCAAUGAACUGAGAAUACGGUUUUCCAACAGAAUAUUGUACGUUUUUUAAGACAAAGCAAAAUACUCAGUACGUACGUAGUCCUAGAGUCUGUCUGAUUCCCAAAUUCUGAACGUGGGCCUUAUUUGAGUUUCUGUUUGUUGGCGACUAGGAGGAGGCGAUCCGACUUGAUUUGCCUCGCGGCCAACCGGAGAUAUAUUAUUUUUCUUUCCUUCCAUGGAUUCUUUGGUCAAGAAUUGUCUUAGAUUUUUCUAAUAAGAAUGUGCACGGUCUAGUUCAGUAUGGAAUGAACUUAUAAUCUGAUGAUCGAGUUGACAGGGUAGAGGCUCUCUUAUCCAAUUAUUAUCCUAAAUAGGUUUGCUUUUUUUUACUUGUCUGCUCUAUUAAUGCAGAAAUAAGUAAAAAAGUAUAAUUAGAUCUAUCUCGAAUUUUUAAGAACCCUAGGGGCUGUGCGGCAGAUCACACAAUCAAUUCCCCACCCCUCGAAAAAUAAAAGGAUAAUACAAUCGACGAAACCACGGACGACGAUGGGAUCCUUCUUCUCUUCCCCCGGUGCUGACCCUCUCUCUCUCUCUCUCUCAAUUUAGUUUAGUUAUUAUUACUGAAUUGAAUCUGCAUAUCGUAGUACUUGUGUUCGUGUGUACAUGCACGUUAACGUAUAUAAUGGUGACAGUAAGCGUGAUGCCCUCGGUGCCAACAUGUACACCAUCUUUGCCCUCGGCCAUUACAACUCCAGGAACCCGGAUACUAUGUUCUAUCCUGCUGCGGAGCCCAUGGAAGAGCCCAGGGCCGCCUGCGUCGGCUUCAGGCAGGACUUCUGGUACCAUGUCGGCUUCUGGGCCCGGCCGAGGGAUGCCACUGACCACAAUGAACAAAAGUACUUCUUUGCCGAGCUGCGUUUCGAGCGCCGCUCUAGACGGCUGGUGGUCGAGACAUGCACCCUCUUGGAAAAGCCGAUGUGCCAUUUCAAGAGUAGGUGCGCGUUCUGCCCGGAUAGAUUCCAGAUCUUGCAUCCGAGUGAUGUUGAAGAGUUUACUUGUGGGAAGAAAAGGCACAAAAAGAAGUUCUUCAGGGAGAGAAAUAUGCUUGGCAGGCCUUUCAUGCUUAGAUAGUCACGCCAAACUUAGCUAAGCACUGUUUUGUUACCUUGUACUUAUUGCUUGUUCAGUUUAUUGUUUAUGAGAGUUGAAAAAGUGUAAGAUAGCGUUGACGUUACUACCGGAUUACUUUUUGGUUGUUGUAUACUUCACCAAUGCUCAAGACUGAUCCCGCUAUUAGUAUUGAUGGGUUGGGCCAA